rnacentral:rRNA from 1 species
UACGGGGGGGGCAAGCGUUGUUCGGAAUUACUGGGCGUAAAGGGCUCGUAGGCGGCCAACUAAGUCAGACGUGAAAUCCCUCGGCUUAACCGGGGAACUGCAUCUGAUACUGGAUGGCUUGAGUUUGGGAGAGGGAUGCGGAAUUCCAGGUGUAGCGGUGAAAUGCGUAGAUAUGACCCGGAACACCUAUUGCGAAGGCAGCAGGCUAAACAAAUAUUGACGCUGAGGCUCGAAAGCGUGGGGAUCAAACAGG